GAUAUAGUAACUUAAUUGGUAAAGACCAUGGUUCACGACCAUGCGCAGAUGGAGGUUCGAAUCCUUCCUGUAUCA
rnacentral:tRNA from 1 species